rnacentral:rRNA from 1 species
UACAGGAGGUCUCAAGCGUUGUUCGGAUUCAUUGGGCGUAAAGGGUGUGUAGGUGGCGCCGUAAGUCGGGUGUGGAAAUUUCGGAGCUUAACUCCGAAACUGCAUUCGAUACUGCGGUGCUUGAGGACUGGAGAGGAGACUGGAAUUCAUGGUGUAGCAGUGAAAUGCGUAGAGAUCAUGAGGAAGACCAGUGGCGAAGGCGGGUCUCUGGACAGUUCCUGACACUGAGACACGAAGGCCAGGGGAGCAAACGGG